rnacentral:rRNA from 1 species
UAUAUCGGAACGUACCCUGGAGGUGGGGAUAACGUAGCGAAAGUUACGCUAAUACCGCAUACGAUCUAAGGAUGAAAGUGGGGGAUCGCAAGACCUCAUGCUCCUGGAGCGGCCGAUAUCUGAUUAGCUAGUUGGUAGGGUAAAAGCCUACCAAGGCAUCGAUCAGUAGCUGGUCUGAGAGGACGACCAGCCACACUGGAACUGAGACACGGUCCAG